CUUCAAUCUGUUUUAAGAUUAAUCGUCGCAAAAAAUGAAAGGUCUCUUUCUUACGAUGUGUUUAAUAUUCUCUUUUACAAUUCUUCAGGCCAAACAAGAAACAAACGACUUUUUUGAAGAACAACGAACACCAGAAAAAUUAGAAAGGCCGAAUCAUAGUGCAUUUAUAUUCCCCCUCUCAAAGAAAGUUAUCAGUYCACAGAGAUGGGGUGGCCCUAUUGGGAAGAGAGUGAGCAAAAGUAGGGCCAAGCAAAUGUUUGAGCAAAGGCAUCAGUUGAAACMGCUUUUAAAUUGAUCUAAUAAUUUGAGGUAAUAAUAAACACAAUAAACCAGAUUAUUCUUCAA